UACGAAGGGGGCUAGCGUUGUUCGGAAUUACUGGGCGUAAAGCGUAUGCAGGCGGACUUUUAAGUCGGGGGUGAAAUCCCGAGGCUCAACCUCGGAACUGCCUUCGAUACUGGAAGUCUUGAGUCCGGGAGAGGUGAGUGGAACUCCGAGUGUAGAGGUGAAAUCCGUAGAUAUUCGGAAGAACACCAGUGGCGAAGGCGGCUCACUGGCCCGGUACUGACGCUGAGAUACGAAAGCGUGGGGAGCAAACAGG
rnacentral:rRNA from 1 species